rnacentral:rRNA from 1 species
GACGAACGCUGGCGGCGUGCUUAACACAUGCAAGUCGAACGGAAAGGCCCUGCUUUUGUGGGGUGCUCGAGUGGCGAACGGGUGAGUAACACGUGAGUAACCUGCCCCUGACUUUGGGAUAACUUCAGGAAACUGGGGCUAAUACCGGAUAGGAGCUCCUGCUGCAUGGUGGGGGUUGGAAAGUUUCGGCGGUUGGGGAUGGACUCGCGGCUUAUCAGCUUGUUUGUGGGGUAGUGGCUUACCAAGGCUUUGACGGGUAGCCGGCCUGAGAGGGUGACCGGCCACAUUGGGACUGAGAUACGGCCCAGACUCCAACGGGCGGCAGCAGUGGGGAAUAUUGCACAAUGGGCGGAAGCCUGAUGCAGAAACGCCGCGUGCGGGAUGACGGCCUUCGGGUUGUAAACCGCUUUCGCCUGUGACGAAGCGUGAGUGACGGUAAUGGGUAAAGAAGCACCGGCUAACUACGUG